CAGUAGCCGCGGUAAAACGUAGGGUGCAAGCGUUAAUCGGAAUUACUGGGCGUAAAGCGUGCGCAGGCGGUUAUAUAAGACAGAUGUGAAAUCCCCGGGCUCAACCUGGGAACUGCAUUUGUGACUGUAUAGCUAGAGUACGGCAGAGGGGGAUGGAAUUCCGCGUGUAGCAGUGAAAUGCGUAGAUAUGCGGAGGAACACCGAUGGCGAAGGCAAUCCCCUGGGCCUGUACUGACGCUCAUGCACGAAAGCGUGGGAGCAAACAGGAUUAGAUACCCCGGUAGUCCCUGUCUCUUAUACA
rnacentral:rRNA from 1 species